AACGAACGCUGGCGGCAUGCCUAACACAUGCAAGUCGAACGAGACCUUCGGGUCUAGUGGCGCACGGGUGCGUAACGCGUGGGAACCUGCCCUUAGGUUCGGAAUAACUCCCCGAAAGGGGUGCUAAUACCGGAUAAUGUCUUCGGACCAAAGAUUUAUCGCCUUUGGAUGGGCCCGCGUUGGAUUAGCUAGUUGGUAGGGUAAAAGCCUACCAAGGCGACGAUCCAUAGCUGGUCUGAGAGGAUGAUCAGCCACACUGGGACUGAGACACGGCACAGACUCCUACGGGAGGCAGCAGUGGGGAAUAUUGGAACAUGGGCGAAAGCAUGAUCCAGCAAUGACGCGUGAGUGAUGAAGGCAUUAGGGUUGUAAAGCUCUUUUACCCGGGAUGAUAAUGACAGUACCGGGAGAAUAAGCUACGGCUAACUCCGUG
rnacentral:rRNA from 1 species